rnacentral:rRNA from 1 species
UACGGAGGUGGCUAGCGUUACUCGGAAUUAUUGGGUGUAAAGGGUGCGUAGGCGGUCAUUUAAGUCUGACGUGAAAUCUCCGGGCCUAACCCGGAAACUGCGUUGGAAACUAUCUGACUAGAGGAAUGGAGGGGAGACUGGAAUACUUGGUGUAGCAGUGAGAUGCGUAGAUAUCAAGUGGAACACCAGUGGCGAAGGCGAGUCUCUGGACAUUUCCUGACGCUGAGGCACGAAAGCCAGGGGAGCAAACGGG